UACGGGGGGGGCAAGCGUUGUUCGGAAUUACUGGGCGUAAAGGGCUCGUAGGCGGCCAACUAAGUCGGAUGUGAAAUCCCCAGGCUUAACCUGGGAACUGCAUCCGAUACUGGAUGGCUUGAAUCCGGGAGAGGGAUGCGGAAUUCCAGGUGUAGCGGUGAAAUGCGUAGAUAUCUGGAGGAACACCGGUGGCGAAGGCGGCAUCCUGGACCGGCAUUGACGCUGAGACACGACGGCGUGGGGAGCAAACCGG
rnacentral:rRNA from 1 species